rnacentral:rRNA from 1 species
GAAAGUUACAAAGGGCGUACGGGGAAUGCCUAGGCUCUCAGAGGCGAUGAAGGACGUGGUAAGCUGCGAAAAGCGACGGGGAAGUGCACACAACUGUUAAUCCGUCGAUAUCCGAAUGGGGUAACCCAUCUUAAUGAAGUUAAGAUAUCCGUAAGGAUGCCAACCCGGAGAACUGAAACAUCUAAGUAACCGGAGGAAAAGAAAACAAUAGUGAUUCCGCAAGUAGUGGCGAGCGAAAGCGGAACAGCCCAAACCGAUCAUGUUACGGCAUAGUCGGGGUUGUAGGACUGCUAUAAUCAUUGUGUAUUAGAUUUGAAUAGUUUGGGAAAGCUAACUAUAAAAGGUGAAAGUCCUGUAAAAGAAUAAAACACAAUGAGAGCAGUAUCCUGAGUAAGUGGGGACUGGUGAAAUCCCCUCUGAAUCUGGCGGCACCAUCCGCCAAGGCUAAAUACUCCUGAGAGACCGAUAGUGGACUAGUACCGUGAGGGAAAGGUGAAAAGAACCGCAAGAAGCGGAGUGAAAAGACCCUGAAACCGUACGCUUACAAGCAGUCGAAGUCCCUUUGUGGGAUAACGGCGUGCCUUUUGCAUAAUGACCCUACGAGUUACGAUUACUGGCAAGGUUAAGUUCGUUAACGAAAGAAGCCGAAGCGAAAGCGAGUCUUAAUAGGGCGCUAAGUCAGUGGUUGUAGACGCGAAACUUUGUGAUCUACCCUUGGUCAGGCUGAAGUUCUGGUAACACAGAAUGGAGGGCCGAACCAGUGAGCGUUGAAAAGCUUUUGGAUGAACUGAGGGUAGGGGUGAAAGGCUAAUCAAACUGAGAAAUAGCUCGUACUCCCCGAAAUGUUUUUAGGAACAGCCUCGGGGUUAAGUUAGUUGGAGGUAAAGCUACCGAUAGGACUAGGGGGAGUCACAUCCUACCAAAUCCUGACGAACUCUGAAUGCCAACUAAUAUACCCGGGAGUGAGGGCUGGGGUGCUAAGGUCCCAGUCCGAAAGGGAAAGAACCCAGACCUACUGCUAAGGUCCCCAAAUAUGUGCUAAGUUGAACUAAGGAGGUUCGGUUGCAGUGACAGCCAGGAUGUUAGCUUGGAAGCAGCUAUACAUUUAAAGAGUGCGUAACAGCUCACUGGUCGAGCGGGGCGGGCGUCGAUAAUAAACGGGCAUCAAGUAUAUCACCGAAGCGAUGCGAUAGUAAUAUCGGUAGGGGAGCAUUCCAUUUGCGGAGAAGUUGUGGUGUAAACCAUGGUGGAGCGGAUGGAAAAGCAAAUGUAGGCAUAAGUAACGACAAUGUAUGUGAGAACCAUACACACCGUAAAGCUAAGGAUUCCUCAGCUAUGUCAAUCAACUGAGGGUUAGUCGGGGCCUAAGGGGAAGGCGAAGGCCGCACCUGACGGAUAGCAGGUUAAUAUUCCUGCACCUGAUGCAAGUGUGAAGCGCACGGGGUAGGGGAGAGUAUACGAAGUGACGGAAGUCUUCGUUGAGCAGCGUUUACGGACAAAGCGAAUACUUGAACUGGCCUCCAAGAAAAACCGCUGAAACAUCAGCUUGCAUGAGCCCGUACCGGAAACCGACACAGGUAGCUGGGUAGAAUAUACCAAGGUGCUCAAGUGAAUCACGGUUAAGGAACUCGGCAAAUUAGUCCUGUAACUUCGGGAAAAGGGACACUCGAGUAAAAUUGAGUCGCAGAGAAAUGGCCCAGGCGACUGUUUAACAAAAACACAGGGCAACGCAAAGACGCGAGUCGACGUAUGUUGCCUGACACCUGCCCGGUGCUGGAAGGUUAAGAGGGGAGCUUAGCGCAAGCGAAGGUUUGAAUCGAAGCCCCAGUAAACGGCGGCCGUAACUAUAACGGUCCUAAGGUAGCGAAAUUCCUUGUCGGGUAAGUUCCGACCUGCACGAAUGGUGUAACGAUCUGGGCACUGUCUCAACCGUGAGCUUGGUGAAAUUGUAGUAGCGGUGAAGAUGCCGCUUACCCGUCACGGGACGGAAAGACCCCGUGCACCUUUACUAUAACUUUGCGUUGAACAUGGGAUAUGAAUGUGUAGGAUAGGUGGGAGGCUAUGAAGUGGGUUCGUCAGGAUUCAUGGAGCCAACGUUGAAAUACCACCCUUUUGUAUUCUGUGUUCUAAUUCUGAAAAGAAGACCGCGCAUGGUGGGUAGUUUGACUGGGGUGGUCGCCUCCAAAAGAGUAACGGAGGCUUC